GGAUGUGAGGGCGAUCUGGCUGCGACAUCUGUCACCCCAUUGAUCGCCAGGGUUGAUUCAGCUGAUCUGGCUGGCUAGGCGGGUGUCCCCUUCCUCCCUCAGCACUCCAUGCGUGUCCCUCCCGAAGCUGUGCCCUCGGUGGAAGAGGACAACCUUCCCUGAUAGAGCUGAGGACCGGUCUUUGGUCAAGGGUAUAUAGCUGCGCUCCCCUGCUAGAACCUCCAAACAAGCUCUCAAGAAAGACUGACUUGGCAGUAUUCUUAUUAAGCCUAGUAUAUCAGUCUAAGGACACACUGAGAUAAGAAAACAUUCUUUAGCU
rnacentral:snRNA from 1 species